rnacentral:rRNA from 1 species
UGAGGAAUCUUGCGCAAUGGGGGAAACCCUGACGCAGCAACGCCGCGUGAGUGAAGAAGGCCUUCGGGUCGUAAAGCUCUGUCAGAUGGGACGAAAUGGAUGGGGGCUAAUAUCGUCCAUCCUUGACGGUACCAUCAGAGGAAGCACCGGCUAACUCCGUGCCAGCAGCCGCGGUAAUACGGGGGGUGAACGCGGUGUUCGGAAUCAUUGGGCGUAAAGCGCGCGCAGGCGGCUUGGUAAGUCAGAGGGGAAAUCCCUGGGCUUAACCCAGGAAGUGC